UACAGAGGUCUCAAGCGUUGUUCGGAUUCAUUGGGCGUAAAGGGUGUGUAGGUGGCGCCGUAAGUCGGGUGUGAAAUCUCGGGGCUUAACUCCGAAACUGCAUUCGAUACUGCGGUGCUUGAGGACUGGAGAGGAGACUGGAAUUCAUGGUGUAGCAGUGAAAUGCGUAGAGAUCAUGAGGAAGACCAGUGGCGAAGGCGGGUCUCUGGGCCGAUACUGACGCUGAGGAGCGAAAGCGUGGGGAGCGAACAGG
rnacentral:rRNA from 1 species